UCGCAAGACAGGGGAAGACCUAGCGGCGAACGGGUGAGUAACACGUGAGCAACCUGCCCCGGAGACCGAGAUAACACCGGGAAACCGGUGCUAAUACCGGAUGCCCUCAAUGAAUCGCAUGGCUCAUUGAGGAAAUGGAUUCCGCUUCGGGAGGGGCUCGCGGCCUAUCAGCUUGUUGGUGGGGUAACGGCCUACCAAGGCUCCGACGGGUAGCUGUCUGAGAGGACGACCAGCCACACUGGGACUGAGACACGGCCCAGACUCCUACGGGAGGCAGCAGUGGGGAAUCUUGCGCAAUGGGCGAAAGCCUGACGCAGCAACGCCGCGUGGGGGACGAAGGCCUUCGGGUUGUAAACCCCUUUCAGCAGGGACGAAAAUGACG
rnacentral:rRNA from 1 species